rnacentral:rRNA from 1 species
GAUGAACGCUGACAGAAUGCUUAACACAUGCAAGUCAACUUGAACUUCGGUUUGGGUGGCGGACGGGUGAGUAACGCGUACAGAACUUGCCUCACAGAUAGGGACAACAUUUGGAAACGAAUGCUAAUACCUGAUAUUAUGAUUAUAUGGCAUCGUAUAAUUAUGAAAGCUAUAUGCGCUGUGAGAGAGCUUUGCGUCCCAUUAGCUAGUUGGAGAGGUAACGGCUCACCAAGGCGAUGAUGGGUAGCCGGCCUGAGAGGGUGAUCGGCCACAAGGGGACUGAGACACGGCCCUUACGCAUACGGGAGGCAGCAGUGGGGAAUAUUGGAAAAAGGACCAAGAGACUGAUCCAGGAAUUCUGUGUGCACGAUGAAGUUUUUAGGAAUGUAAAGUGCUUUCAGUUGGGAAGAAAAAAAUGACGGUACCAACAGAAGAAGUGACGGCUAAAUACGUG